AGUUUAUCCUGCUCAGAUUAACGCUGCGGCAUGCCUUACACAUGCAAGUCGAACGGCAUCGCGGGAAGCUUGCUUUCCUGCGGCGAGUGCGAACGGGUGAGUACACAUCGGAACGUACCGGCUAGUGGGGGAUAACCCGUCGAAAGACGGGCUAAUACCGCAUACGCUCUUAGGAGGAAAGCAGGGGACCUUUGGGCCUUGCGCUAGCCGAGCGGCCGAUGUCCGAUUAGCUAGUUGGUGGGGUAAAGGCCUACCAAGGCGACGAUCGGUAGCGGGUCUGAGAGGACGAUCCGCCACACUGGGACUGAGACACGGCCCAGACUCCUACGGGAGGCAGCAGUGGGGAAUCUUGGACAAUGGGGGCAACCCUGAUCCAGCACAUGCCGCGUGGGUGAAGAAGGCCUUCGGGUUGUAAAGCCCUUUCGGCAGGGAAGAAGUCGGCGGGGCGAAUAACCCUGCUGGAUGACGGGCCUGCAGAAGAAGCACCG
rnacentral:rRNA from 1 species